GCGGGGGUGGCAGAGCUUGGUCAAAUGCGCGGGACUCAAGAUCCCGUCCCUUAGGGGUUCGUGGGUUCAAAUCCCACCCCCCGCACCA
rnacentral:tRNA from 1 species